CUUUUAGCGAGCCUUGGGCUUUGUCCAUGGUCUUGCAAACUCUGUAUUUAAAACCCGCUCAUAAAUUUAAAACAUAAACUUUUGUUAUUAUUAUUAUAAUAAAGAUCACUUUCAACAACGGAUCUCUUGGCUCUCGCAUCGAUGAAGAACGUAGCGAAGUGCGAUAAGUAUUGUGAAUUGCAGAAUCCGUGAAUCAUCGAAUUUUUGAACGCAAAUUGCACUCUCUGGUAUUCCGGAGAGUAUGCCUGUUUGAGGGUUGGUUUAAAUAACAAUCGAUAUGUUGCUUUAUGACAUUUCGGAGUUGGGUCAUCUUAAUCUUAACUUUAAGGGACCUAAAAUUGAUGUUCUUGCACAUCUUGACGUGUAUAAUUUUUUUUAUCUCGUCACCGGAUGCCAGGUAUUAUUAGGUGUGACUAUGCUAAGUGGUUUCAUGCCUAUAGGAU
rnacentral:rRNA from 1 species